rnacentral:lncRNA from 1 species
AUCAGGGUUGACAGUUUAACCCUGAGUCGUCCUAAACACAGGGGUCAAAAGGAUGAAUUAUAUAGUAACCAUAUUCAUGUAGGUUCUGAGUGUUGCGAUUGUGACUCUUCGACCUAUCCGGACGUCAGGUACCAUUGCUAGAUGGUCACUUCGAUUAGUACAAGAAUUGGUUCCUGUGCUACCGGCUUAGGUUCGAACCUGCAGGGUCACACACAUUAGAGGUUCCUAUCUGAUCUGAUGGCUGGUGUAGAAUCCUACAUGUUUGAGACUCAGUGAUCGAGAAUCAGGAUUCUCUGAUCAUGAGUUUCACACAUUAUGGGUAUCGGGGUCAAGAGUCCCACUGGUUGGGACUUUUCGAUCAGGGUUACAUAUCGAUGAAUUCUGAUGUCCAAUUGCCCAUCGGAUUUGGAC